UGGGGAAUCUUGCACAAUGGACGAAAGUCUGAUGCAGCAACGCCGCGUGGGGGAUGAAGCUUUUCGGAGUGUAAACCCCUUUCGACCCGGAAGAAUGCCCGCAAGGGUUUGACGGUACGGGUAUAAGAAGCCCCGGCUAACUACGUGCCAGCAGCCGCGGUAAUACGUAGGAGGCCAGCGUUGCUCGGAAUUACUGGGCGUAAAGGGUUCGUAGGCGGUGUGGCAAGUCGGGAGUGAAAUCUCUGGGCUCAGCCCAGAGACUGCUUCCGAAACUGCUGUGCUUGAGUGUGGGAGAGGCGCGUGGAAUUGCAGGUGUAGCGGUGAAAUGCGUAGAUAUCUGCAGGAACACCCGUGGCGAAAGCGGCGCGCUGGACCACUACUGACGCUGAGGAACGAAAGCUAGGGGAGCAAACAGGAUUAGAUACCCUGGUAGUCCUAGCCCUAAACGAUCAGGACUUGGGGUGCCACCCGUUCGGGUGUCGUCCCGGAGCUAACGCGUUAAGUCCUGCACCUGGGGAGUACGGUCGCAAGACUG
rnacentral:rRNA from 1 species